AAAGGAAGAUAUCCUUAUCAUAUAGCUAUGCUACGUAUUACAAAAUAAUUAACCAAUCAUAUUCUUUUUUUUUUACACAUCAGACGGGCUUCAACAUGUGGGCUUCGUCCUGCUUCUGCUGUUUAUGUUUGGGACUGAUUUUUUUCAAUCACCAGCCAUAGAGGACCUGUGUGUACCUCUGCUGUUCUUUGUCGCCGUCGUGUACGAGGCGCUGUAGCUCCUGAAGUCUCCGGUUCUUGGACCGCCGUGGUAAGGCUAGAUCUGCAUCCCUCCGUCUCCAUACGGUGUUCAAACCAGGUUGACUUCUACAUAAUACCAAAUACAUUUAUUCCAAUAUCUAUCUCCCUCUUCACAUCUCCUUCCGCUCCUCCCUACUCCAAUGAACCACGCCGUGUCUGCAUCUAUCCGACUCGCACCUUCGAGAAACGAAAAGUAUGAUCUGAAGAAGCUGUGGUGUGGUGUGGAGAUGUCAAAGGAAGGUAGCGGUGGUGGUGGUAAUGGAGCUGAGCAAGAAGAAGAAGAAGAGAAAGGCGGAGAAGAAGAGAAGACAGAGAUGCGAGGAGGAUGGAGUCGGAAGAUGACGACGGCUGCGUAGAUUAGGUUUAGGUUUUGGUUUAUUAGUUUUGGUUUAGUUAGGUGUUGGUUUAAUCUGUUUUAGUUUUUGGUUUAAUGUAUUCUGGUUUAUUAAAUUUUUGAUCCUGGUUUAGUUUUAUACUUAAUUGUAAUCUAAUUUUAAUUAAUAAAUAAAAUUUCAUUUCUAAUUAAAAAUUAAUUUUCGAUUUUCUAAUAUUUUUUUAUUAAUUAAUUUAAUUAGUUAAUUUUAACUAUUUUAUUUUAAAUUACAGCAUUAUAUUUAUGUCAUUAUAAAAUAUUUUACAAUACUACAAAACAGCUAUGAAAAAUUACAUAAUAGCCGACAACAAUAUUUACACAUUUCAGGGCAAUGGAAAUAAAAAUGAUGAUUUUUUUUGGUAAGAAUAUAAAAUUAUUAUUACCAGCUUUUGAAAUUUUUGACAAAAGAAAAAGGAGAACAAGGAGCAGAAAACAUAAACAUAAAUCUAAACACAAACUUGAACUAGACAAUUGGGGACAAAAACUACAGACUGGAGAGCUAUCCGGAGACUUGACUUAGAAAGCACGAACCACUUGCCGGAAAGAGAAGAGCCGCAGUUAAACCGAGAGCUAGAACCCGGUAUAAUUGGCCUCCCCGAUGAUCUACUCUUUAAGAUUCGGCCCCACCAAGAACAGCUUGCAGAAGGCUUACUAAGCACCCACCUACACAAAGAGACAACACCAGCAGAGGCCAAGCACACCCACAAAGACUAGACCAAGCUUUAUUUGGAAAGAAUGGCCUCCGAAGCUAGCCACAAGCCAUGGACCGAUACCAAGAAGUUAGAGAAAGCACGCACCACCUGGAAGGGAGGACAGGAAGCAGCCUUAGAUCAUGCUCCUGAAGCUAGCUGUCUCAACGCGCAACGCCACCGAGAACGAGAGUUGUGGUUGACAAGACCGACAACAAACCUCCUCUCACGCGCCCACAGCGGAGAACCCACAGUAGAGCUUCCCAGAUCUGAACCUGAGCAACCGAAGAGGCCAAACGAGAGCUUGACUGUCUGACCCUAAGACACGCGCCGCCGAAACCUAAGAAACAAGCACAGGAACACCGAACCCCCGCAGUCUCAGAAAUCCCGGCCACAUAUGCAGAUCGAGAGAGUUAACUCCCCCAUGCCGAGAAGAAGGGACAGGGGAGCCAGGGGAAGGGAGGAUAUCCACUUCCAAAGACCAGAUCUGACACCAGAUCGAAAGCCUCCGCCACCGAGCCCAUCCAAAGAAACCCCUCAACAUAACCGACCUCCGAGCUUCUCCGAGACUCCGAGCCAAACUCACCAGAACAGAACCGCGGUGGUGAGGACCUAGAGCAUCAGGAAAGGAAACACAGAGGGAGGGCUGUAGAGAGACGAGACGGAGAAGGGGGGUGACCGGAGGCGAAGAAUCUCCAACCACCCAAAUGGUAGAUCUAGGUUUUUUUUUUUUACUUUGAGAUGGAAGAGAGGUUUUUUAGAGAGAGAAGAGAGCGUCUUUUCAAAUGAUAAACACACAAGUUUAAUGUAAAGGUGACUGAGCACAAUCUAUCUGGCAGGACAUGAGUGAUAACAGAACACCAUCUAUACCAGGACACGAAAGUCCUGUCUCCAUCUGCUCCACCAUCUAUACCAGAACCAAUAGCAUAUCCAAUUAUUGGCUUCUCAUCUUUGCGAAGACUACAUGGUUCGACAAACUUAUUUGUUUUCACUUUUCAAUAUUUUUGGUUCUGUUUGACUCUUCCUUCUCAAAUUGCUUAUUUCAUACUUUUGCAUUUACUUUGGAAACAAUUUGGUUUUUAAAACCUUUAUAGUA